CCCAAGAAUCCCCUUAAACUCACUCAACUAUCCAUGCAAAGCAUGCAAAAGAAAGCUGGACAGGACACUUUCGGCGGCAGGUUCGGCGGCCGAAAGUCCUCUCCAGAGACGAAACUCAAGCACCUUCGGCGGCACCUUCGGCGGCCGAAACUCCCAAACAGAGCCGAACAUGCAAAACAGGCUGUGGCAGCCAAGCCACCAUGCAAGAGGUUCGGCGGCCGAAUGAACCUUCGGCUGCCGAACCUGAGUUCAUCCAGAACUCAGCUUCAACGGCAAACCAUCUUCUCCUUCCCUUCAACCACUCAAACCAUAUAUACUC
rnacentral:lncRNA from 1 species